rnacentral:rRNA from 1 species
AGAGGAAGUAAAAGUCGUAACAAGGUUUCCGUAGGUGAACCUGCGGAAGGAUCAUUAACGAGUAAACAAGGGGAGUUGUAGCUGGCCGCAAGGCAUGUGCACGCUCUCCGCUCAAUCCAACCUUACACCUGUGCACCCUUUGUAGGUCGGGUGGCCCGGUCUCUAGUGGAUCGGGUCGUCCUUCCUAUGUCCUUCACACACACUUUGUAGUCUCAGAAUGUAAUCUGCGUUAAACGCAUCUAUAACAACUUUCAACAACGGAUCUCUUGGCUCUCGCAUCGAUGAAGAACGCAGCGAAAUGCGAUAAGUAAUGUGAAUUGCAGAAUUCAGUGAAUCAUCGAAUCUUUGAACGCACCUUGCGCUCCUUGGUAUUCCGAGGAGCAUGCCUGUUUGAGUGUCAUGAAAUUCUCAACCCACCCAGCUUUGUUGUUGCGGUGGGCUUGGACUUGGAGGCUUGCSGGCUCUUUGGAGUCGGCUCCUCUCUAAAUGCAUUAGCUGGACCCGUUUGCGGACCGGUGCUCGGUGUGAUAAUUGUCUACGCCGUCUCCGAGAAGCACUUGAGUGGAUCGGCUUCAAACCGUCUCCGGACAAUCAUUGACAUUUUGACCUCAAAUCAGGUAGGACUACCCGCUGAACUUAAGCAUAUCA